ensembl:lncRNA GIRGL glutamine insufficiency regulator of glutaminase lncRNA
AAGAAGAAAGGGGAAGCAGGUGGAAAAGCAAUUAAAAAAAAAUCAGGGAGUAAGAAGGCACCCUCAGUGUUAGCAAUAAGUAAAAAAUAUUUAUGCAAGCAAAUCCUCAUGCAGCUGGAACUUGCCCCACCAGAUUCUCUUUCGGUGAUUCAGAGCUGAAGGUGCCUCACUGCCCUGUGGAACAGGUGAAUAAAGCCUUCCCAGCAUCUCUCUCUAGCCUAUUAUCUCCUGUUAGACACAGCCCAGAAAAUGAAUAGAGACAAGUCCUGGCUGGGUCUGGGUUCAGAAACAUAAUAGAAGGAUUCAUCUAAUCUGUCGGCCACUGUGGAGGAAGUGAACCUUCUAGAUCCUGCUGACUCAUACAAUGAGUUUUGUGUGGACCAUCAGACAAAAGGGCUGGCUGGUGAAGGUGGCUGUUGUCUGGAAAUUCCUCCCAGCUCUCCUCUAAUUAUGUCAUAAGGACUGGAGGCCCCUUAGCCUGCUUGUGAUAACACGCAAGGAAAUAUGGGCCAACUCUUCACAUGAACACAAGAUAUUUCCAUGCUAGCCUUUUGCAAGUAACAACAGAGAGAGCUCUGUGCAGUUUUCACUGGAAUGCCUGUGGAUUGCUUGUGUCAUAACUGUAAUCUAAAGAGUUGUCCAUUUGUUGAUUCCUUUGUAUUUGUAUUGGUAGAAUUGCCACUAUCAAACCAAGAUCUUUAGCUGCCUUUGUAUCAACUUCUUUGGAGCUUAUGUGAUUUUCCAGAAAAUUUCCAAGGCAUAGUUUUGUCCCUAAGUCCCAUGAAUAUGUAAUAUUUUGUGUCUCUCUAUUAAAAUAGCACUUUUUGUGCAUUCCAUUAACAAA